rnacentral:rRNA from 1 species
AGAGUUUGAUCCUGGCUCAGGACGAACGCUGGCGGCACGCUUAACACAUGCAAGUCGAACGAGAGAAGAGGAGCUUGCUUUUCUGAUCUAGUGGCGGACGGGUGAGUAACACGUGAGCAAUCUGCCUUUCAGAGGGGGAUACCGAUUGGAAACGAUCGUUAAUACCGCAUAACAUAAUUGAACCGCAUGAUUUGAUGAUCAAAGAUUUAUCGCUGAAAGAUGAGCUCGCGUCUGAUUAGCUAGUUGGUAAGGUAACGGCUUACCAAGGCGACGAUCAGUAGCCGGACUGAGAGGUUGAUCGGCCACAUUGGGACUGAGACACGGCCCAGACUCCUAUGGGAGGCAGCAGUGGGGAAUAUUGCACAAUGGAGGAAACUCUGAUGCAGCGAUGCCGCGUGAGGGAAGAAGGUUUUAGGAUUGUAAACCUCUGUCUUCAGGGACGAAAAAAGACGGUACCUGAGGAGGAAGCUCCGGCUAACUACGUGCCAGCAGCCGCGGUAAUACGUAGGGAGCGAGCGUUGUCCGGAAUUACUGGGUGUAAAGGGAGCGUAGGCGGGAUCGCAAGUCAGAUGUGAAAACUAUGGGCUUAACCCAUAAACUGCAUUUGAAACUGUGGUUCUUGAGUGAAGUAGAGGUAAGCGGAAUUCCUAGUGUAGCGGUGAAAUGCGUAGAUAUUAGGAGGAACAUCAGUGGCGAAGGCGGCUUACUGGGCUUUAACUGACGCUGAGGCUCGAAAGCGUGGGGAGCAAACAGGAUUAGAUACCCUGGUAGUCCACGCCGUAAACGAUGAUUACUAGGUGUGGGGGGACUGACCCCUUCCGUGCCGCAGCAAACGCAAUAAGUAAUCCACCUGGGGAGUACGACCGCAAGGUUGAAACUCAAAGGAAUUGACGGGGGCCCGCACAAGCAGUGGAGUAUGUGGAUUAAUUCGAAGCAACGCGAAGAACCUUACCAGGUCUUGACAUCGUAUGCAUAGCUCAGAGAUGAGUGAAAUCUCUUCGGAGACAUAUAGACAGGUGGUGCAUGGUUGUCGUCAGAUCGUGUCGUGAGAUGUUGGGUUAAGUCCCGCAACGAGCGCAACCCUUACUGUUAGUUGCUACGCAAGAGCACUCUAGCAGGACUGCCGUUGACAAAACGGAGGAAGGUGGGGAUGACGUCAAAUCAUCAUGCCCCUUAUGACCUGGGCCUCACACGUACUACAAUGGCUGUCAACAGAGGGAAGCAAAGCCGCGAGGUGGAGCGAACCCCUAAAAGCAGUCUUAGUUCGGAUUGUAGGCUGCGACCCGCCUACAUGAAGUCGGAAUUGCUAGUAAUCGCAGAUCAGCAUGCUGCGGUGAAUACGUUCCCGGGCCUUGUACACACCGCCCGUCACGCCAUGGGAGUCGGUAACACCCGAAGCCUGUAGUCUAACCGCAAGGGGGACGCAGUCGAAGGUGGGAUUGAUGACUGGGGUGAAGUCGUAACAAGGUA